GGGGCUUGGGCUCAGUGGUAGAGUGCUUGCCUAGCAUGUGUGAGGCACUGGGUUUGAUUCUCAGCCCCG
rnacentral:tRNA from 1 species